UGCGUAGGUGGUGAGGUAAGUCGGAUGUGAAAGCUCGGAGCUCAACUCCGAAAUGGCAUUGGAAACUACCUUGCUAGAGGGUUGGGAGGGGGGACUGGAAUGCUUGGUGUAGCAGUGAAAUGCGUAGAUAUCAAGCGGAACACCAGUGGCGAAGGCGAGUCCCUGGACAACUCCUGACACUGAGGCAACGAAAAGGCUAGGGGAGCAAACA
rnacentral:rRNA from 1 species